GUAUGGCAAGUCGGUGCAAAGCCUGGAUUUGCCACAGCGCUGGUAACAGGGGGUACUGUGCAUACACUGGAUGGCAUAAGUGACUUGCGCAUUCUACUGAUUUCUAGUGAGAGCAACUGUUGAUUUGUAACACCUUCAAAAAAACCUAGUCUGAACCUACAAGCCAUAAAUAGUCAGCUAAAGUGUGGAACAUUUAAAACCACAUCACUGGAGAUGCUACACCCAGCAGAAUUCACUUUUGAGGAAAGUCACCGAGUCAUAGCAUGACAGAUUCUUAAAAGAGGUGUACUGAAUAACAUUUGCAACUAUCAAGAUCAUCUGUAUGUAAGGAUGAUGUGCUGGCAUGCUUCCUUUUUAUUAUCCCCCCUUGUCUUCAAAGAAAUACCGCCAAUGCAGAAUCUUGAUAUGUGAAGCACUUCUUUGACUUGAGAAAACUAUUAUUUAAAAGGAAGCGAUUACCAAACUGCUCAGAAUGCUCCAAUUAACUAUGUGAUUUUGCAUCUUCAUCUGUUAACAUGCACUAUUUCAAAUUAAACUCAAAUUCUAAUCAUCAACUUGUUUUCUCUCAGACUUUGCUCAGCUUAUUUUGUCACUGUGAUUCCACACUCCUCUCUCACAGACAUGAAGUUAUUCCGAAAAGGCCGGAGACAUUGGGUUUGGCUUAACGGACACCAGGUACAACUCACAGCAGAGUUAUCUUUAGUUAUUAAUAUAAAAUAUUCCUUAUUGUAUUUUGAAUAUAAAAUAUUCCUUAUUGAUGAGUGCAUCUAUUAAAAUGGAUCACUUGCCUUCUAAAUGGCAAAAUAACAGUUUUCCAACUAUCAAAAGUAAACUCUGGUGCCUGUAAUUGAAGUAUUACAUUGUUAUAUUUACAGAGGAAAAAAAAUGCUUAAAAAAACCCUAUUAUCACAAAAUAGUGCCAAGUCUUCACACAAGUAUUUCCUCUGGCAAUUUGCUUCAAACCACCUGGACUUCCCUGUAGCUCUGAAAGGGGAGGGGGUGUUAACCUAAGGGUUGCAAUUAUACAGUUCAGUUUAUAGUAAAGGCAAUAUGAACUUUAACUUUUGUAUCAAGAAAAACUAAGCUGACCUCAAC